rnacentral:miRNA from 1 species
AUCACCUGGAAAUCUUGUUAAAAUGCAGCUUUUAAUGAAGUUGGGAAUGAGGCCUGAGAUUCUGCAUUGCUAACAAGCUCCCAGGGGAUG